rnacentral:lncRNA from 1 species
AACCAAUUAGAGAGUGUGAACCAAACUACCAAAGAAUCCUAAUUUGCACUAGGAUGCCAAAAACUGACGAGACAUCAAUUGAUUCGUGUUGCACCGAGGAAGAAGUUGUGCACACGUUUAAAUCCUACUAACACAAGAAACAAGAAGGUGUUAGAUAACGUAAAGGAAGAAUAAAGGUAAACAAAUGAAAACCUACAGCUAAGAAUCAAUAAAAAUUGCUAAAACCAGAAAACCUGAAAAACUGUGGAGUAACUUGACAACUUCGUUAGAGGUGUUCCCGAUCUCCAAAAAUCACAAAAUUAAAUCUGGAAUGUCUUCAAAUAUUGAAUUUUUGAUCUGGAAAAUUUGGGCACCAAAUUCAACCCGCUGAAUAUUUUUUUAAUUUUUUAUUGGAUUUCGUCUUUUUUCAAUUUUUUGACUUUUUCGACUUAUUUUUUUUGCAGGAAAUAUUUUUGUAUAUUCAAUAACAGUGCCAAAAAUAUGUAUGUAAAAUUUCAGAUCAAUCAGAAAACGUUUACCCACUCAAAUGAAUUUUUUUCGAAAAUUUUUCUGGGUAAAACUGCUGUUUGUAAUUUAAAAAACAGAGAUCAGUUUAGAAAUCAACCAAGAACACCCAAAACGCCCAAAAUCUGAUACCAAAUGAUACGGGGUUGCGCGCGGACCAAGAUCGAGUUGCCAAGUCACGAGAAACUCCUACGAAAACCCUAAACAAUUAGAUCUGAAACGAAACAGAAAAUUAAAAGAUUAGAUUUUUGAAUUUUCAGAUCUGAAAUAAAAUCCCCAAAUCAGCAAAGAAUCAAAUUGAGAAUAGAAAUAAGUGUUAGGGUUCUUGAAACCCUCAAGGAGAUUGUGAUUCUGCCCAAUUGAACACCAAGAUAGUUUUUCCCAAAUUUCGACAAUCUAAUUUCACCCAAAAAGAGUAUGGAAAAACCCUAGAAAUUGGGGAUUUUUGGGCUGAUUCCUUAAGAUAGAAAAAGGCUGAAAACACAAUAAGAACAGAAAAUAGAUUAGAUAAUGAUUCAGCACAAGUAGAAAUAAAGAAAGAAUUGAUAGUAAGAAAUUAAAAGAUAAGUCCUAAGAAGCCUUGAAAUCUCGAAAGAUCUCACAACUCCCUUCAAACGGCUCUAAUCUCCCCUCCAAAGAAUAUCAAUGGCAAGAAGAAGGUUGAAGAUGGCUCCCACAAUCACAAGAUUGUUAAAACAACUUCUAAAGAAAACUCAAGAGAGAAAUCUUGGAGAAAACUCAAAGAAAAUUCUGCUCUCAACAAAUCUAAAAUUUUAAUAAUAAUGAUAAGUGUUUAACAAGGUGGACAGCCAUGCCUUUAAAUAGGCCUUAUAACUAGUCCUAAUCUAAUUAGAAAACUAAAAUAAAAAAAACUCCUAAUUAUUUUAAUAUGGAAAUUCGGUCAAAGGUCAUUUUAUCUGGGACUCUUGGACUGAAUAUUGACAUAAAAAUUUAAACUAAGUAAAUAAAUAAAUAAAUAAAUAAAAAUAAAAAUAAAACUUUACAACUUGGGCAACUUUGACAAUUUGGCCUGAUUUUCAACUAAGUAUGGAUGGAUUUCUUGAUUGGGCUGGGAAUUUGCUUAUUGGGCCUCGCCUUCAAGAAUUUGGGCUUUUGUGACUCGUAUCAAAAUGGCAGGCUUGAAUAGGCAUUACGUCGCACACAACUUCGUCUUGAUACUUACCGAUAGAAAAGGCGAUGCGCACUUGUUGAGUGACCCUAAAUUGGCCUUCGUUGCUAAGCCCUUGUAGUUGAUAAGGUUGUGGAUGCUUGGUAGUGGUUAAGCAAAGCUUUUCCACCAUCGUCGUGCUGGCUAUGUUCGAGCAACUUUCACCAUCAAUAAUAACUCUACAAAGCUUACCUUGUACAUGGCAGCGAGUAUGAAAGAGAUGUUCUCGUUGCUGCUCGCUCUUUGGUUUUGCCAAAGAUGCUUGUCCACGAUCAUGAAAAUCAUCAUCCAUUCUAGGGACACGUUGAGGGUUGCACCUAUGGGGCUGGUUAUCCCUAUCUUCCUUAAUUGGAUCUCGAUAUUGAUGUUUUUGAUUCACUCGUACCUCAUUCAAAGUAGUAUUCAAUGCUUGAAGUGUAGCAUUUAUUUGUGUGAUUGCAGCAGUAUGUCCGUCUAACUGUUGUUGGACUUUCAUAAGUGCAUCAUUAUUAUCACCUUUAGACAUCUUCAAAACCUGUAAAAAAUAAACACUCAACACUCAAAAAUAAAAGUUAGCAAACCUCACCAUUAAUCACUCAAAAAGAAAAAUCAAAUUCUCAAUGAGGUCGAAUUCAAUCUUUUGAGUUCUUUAUCAGAGUUUAUAUCAACCAAUUAGAGAGUGUGAACCAAACUACCAAAGAAUCCUAAUUUGCACUAGGAUGCCAAAAACUGACGAGACACCAAGUGAUUCGUGUUGCACCGAGGAAGGAUUGUGCACACGUUUAAAUCCUACUAACACAAGAAACAAGAAGGUGUUAGAUAUUUUAAAAGGAGAAUAAAAAGCAAACAAAUGAAAACCUACAGCUAAGAAUCAAUAAAAAUUGCUGAAAACAGAAAACCCGAAAAACUGCGGAGUAACUUGACAACUUCGUUCGAGGUGUUCCCGAUCUCCAAAAAUCACAAAAUUAAAUCUGGAGUGUCCUUAUAUAUUUAAUUUUU